rnacentral:lncRNA from 1 species
UUUAUUCAAGAGUACAACUAUGGUCUACAUAAAAGGUUGAUGACUAAGUAAUGCUACCAAACUAUAUAUGGAUCAUCACAAAUGAUGACUUAACUUUUAAUUUUGUUUUUUGCAAUUGUAUUGAAUCAUUGCUAGUUUUAUAUAUAAUGACUUGUUCUGUUAAGGUUGAAGUUAGAGUAGAUACGAUGAAAAUAAUAAUGUUGAACUCUUGAAUCUUGAUCAUUAUACAAUAUUUUGCAAAAUGAAUUUAAAUCAUUACAUAUGAUAUGCUAUUAAGAGGUUUUGUUGAAUUUAUAUAUGAAAAUGAUGCUUAAAACAAAAGAUAAUGAUUAGUGAGGUUCAAUGAUAAGGCCGGAAUUAACACGUGAAGACACGAGUAAAUUAAAGUGAAUGGUCUCAGGACUCAAUAGAAAGCUACUGCCCCCCGGAACUUAUGGCUUCGAUUAAGCCUUCCCUACCCUGAGAUUUUUAUAUAUGUCUGCCUGAGAUUAUUUUUUUCUUAAAAUGUGUGAUUGAGAUGAGUAGAGCACUAUCAAGCAUCAGCACAUUAACAUUUGUAUUGUAUGCACAAAUAACAAAUUGCAGAAUUAUAUAUAUCUGAGGCAUUUCAAAUUAUUCAUGUUAAAAUUUUGGGAUGUACAUGCAACUACAACAUUUGUACAUAUUUUAGUCAAUACAAUAGAUAUAGGAUGCAGUAUUGAUCCAAAGAUAUGAUCAUUUGAGAUGUUGGAAUCUAGUCUGGAGAUAUUGGUAGCAUGAGACAAUGAAGGAAUAAAGACACAAUGUUUAAUUGUUUAUAGUUAGUUAGGUCCAUAUGAGGAAGAGCUGCCUUGCCUAGCGAUCUACUGUAGUAAAUAGAAACAAAAUGUAGAGACAAAAUAAACAAAGGGCAGGUGGGGUGAUUGGUCUUGGUUGGUGUACUGUUGGUCCUACUCCUACUAACAUAACAAACGUACGUACUAAGAUGUACAUCAGCACUUUAGCUACUAGUAACAACAACAAAAAGACUGACCUCGCGUGCCGUUCGGAAUGGUUGUUUGGACAGACUUUAUUGAAUUAUGGCCGGGAAAAGAAAACGACCUAUGCUGUUGAUCAGCUGAUGCUAUGCAUAAUGCAUCUCUUCUCUCUCUCUCUCUCUCUAUCUAUGUUUCUUGUGUCUGCACUCUGCAUUAGUUAUUGGACUGGUUGUGGGCAAAUUGGUCAGAUAAAGAGAGAGAUAGUCAGUCAGUUUCUGUUCUGUUUCUCUUCUCUCGCCG